UCCGGCGUAGCUCAGCGGUAGAGCGGAUGGCUGUUAACCAUUAGGUCACUGGUUCGAAUCCAGUCGCCGGAGCCA
rnacentral:tRNA from 1 species